UAAUAAGGCUGCUAUGAACAUACUGGU
rnacentral:piRNA from 1 species